rnacentral:rRNA from 1 species
UACGGAGGGGGGCUAGCGUUGUUCGGAAUUACUGGGCGUAAAGCGCGCGUAGGCGGCUUUGUAAGUUAGAGGUGAAAGCCCGGAGCUCAACUCCGGAAUUGCCUUUAAGGCUGCAUCGCUAGAAUCAUGGAGAGGUGAGUGGAAUUCCGAGUGUAGAGGUGAAAUUCGUAGAUAUUCGGAAGAACACCAGUGGCGAAGGCGACUCACUGGACAUGUAUUGACGCUGAGGUGCGAAAGCGUGGGGAGCAAACAGG